ACUGUUCUCAGAGACGCACCACUGGUUCUUGCGUCUGCACUGGUGCGGCAACACUCGACCGGGCAUCCUAGUACAACGUCAACUGUGCGGCCCUUUCCCAACCUCUUCGCUAAAGACCCUCGCCGGGCCUUUUGCAGCGCUCGGGAGCGGUACGCAUGCGGAAAUGACUUAUGGCCAGCAGCGAGAACGGCUUCCCCUUCGACGGUGUCUUUGACCUGUUCAAGAUCGGCAUUGGACACCAUUGAGCUCACACACCGUCGUGCCCAUGCGCGCCGCUGGCCGGUU
rnacentral:misc_RNA from 1 species